rnacentral:rRNA from 1 species
UACGUAGGGGGCAAGCGUUGUCCGGAUUUAUUGGGCGUAAAGAGCGUGUAGGCGGUUUUACAGGUCCGCUGUGAAAACUCGAGGCUCAACCUCGAGACGUCGAUGGAAACCAUCUAGCUAGAGUCCGGAAGAGGAGAGUGGAAUUCCUGGUGUAGCGGUGAAAUGCGCAGAUAUCAGGAAGAACACCCGUGGCGAAGGCGGCUCUCUGGUACGUGACUGACGCUGAGACGCGAAAGCGUGGGGAGCAAACAGG